AGAGUUUGAUCCUGGCUCAGGACGAACGCUGGCGGCGUGCUUAACACAUGCAAGUCGAGCGGAAAGGCCCUUCGGGGUACUCGAGCGGCGAACGGGUGAGUAACACGUGAGUAACCUGCCCUGGACUUUGGGAUAACCCUCGGAAACGGGGGCUAAUACCGGAUACGACACUCCACCGCAUGGUGUGUUUGUGGAAAGUUUUUCGGUCUGGGAUGGGCUCGCGGCCUAUCAGCUUGUUGGUGGGGUAAUGGCCUACCAAGGCGACGACGGGUAGCCGGCCUGAGAGGGCGACCGGCCACACUGGGACUGAGACACGGCCCAGACUCCUACGGGAGGCAGCAGUGGGGAAUAUUGCACAAUGGGCGGAAGCCUGAUGCAGCGACGCCGCGUGAGGGAUGACGGCCUUCGGGUUGUAAACCUCUUUCAGCAGGGACGAAGCGCAAGUGACGGUACCUGCAGAAGAAGCGCCGGCCAACUACGUGCCAGCAGCCGCGGUAAGACGUAGGGCGCGAGCGUUGUCCGGAUUUAUUGGGCGUAAAGAGCUCGUAGGCGGCUUGUCGCGUCGACCGUGAAAACUUGGGGCUCAACCCCAAGCCUGCGGUCGAUACGGGCAGGCUAGAGUUCGGUAGGGGAGACUGGAAUUCCUGGUGUAGCGGUGAAAUGCGCAGAUAUCAGGAGGAACACCGGUGGCGAAGGCGGGUCUCUGGGCCGAUACUGACGCUGAGGAGCGAAAGCGUGGGGAGCGAACAGGAUUAGAUACCCUAGUAGUCC
rnacentral:rRNA from 1 species